rnacentral:tRNA from 1 species
GAGGCCCUAGUAAAUUAAUUAUAUAGUUCUGUCAGCACUAAGUUAUGGGGUAAAUCCAACCCAUGGUCCUCA